GGGCAGGUGGAAAGUGCUCGCCCCUGGCUUGGUUGUCUGCCUGGAGUCUGUGCAGACAACAGUCUUCUGGGAUUCUAGCAAGAGCUGGAAUUCCACUUGAGCCCCACCUCAUAGGAAACCGAAAAUUCUCUACGCUCUUCAGCACCCCGGCAAAGGCCAGUCUGAGUUACCUUUCCGAAAACGGCUUCGCUUUGCGCAGCAUACCUGUUCAGCAUUCCAGAAGGAUUUGAGGAUCAUCCUUUUCUAAAAUAAAGCCGGAGUAUUUGGAGGAUUUGGAAAAUUGAGAUGAGAAGCAUCUACUUAGAAAUGCCAAGUAACUCAGCUGAUAAAUAGCAAAGACAGAAGUCUUCAGGCUGGAGGCAAUUCUGUGAGACAGUUGAGCCCUCCAGAGCGGGUAGGAGAUUGAUAGACCUACACAGAAGAUAGAUCCAGCCGUGCUGUUGGCCCUACAAGAAGAAGACACUCUUUCCAGAAGACAUAGAACAUUUCUGAACCUGGGAAAGAUGCCUGGAAACUGGGAGAAGAGAGAAGAGAGCACUUCGCCAUCCUGCCGAGGCAUCUCCCACCAUACUCAAUACUUUUCACCAGGUCACUGCUGAGCUGUUCUCGUUCAGUCUUGGUUUGAUGGAACAAUAGUCUGAAAUUUUUACUUUCAAUUAAACUCACUUGUUGAACCACCUCUAUCUUCAAAUGAUUCUAUUAGGAUGGCUAAUUAUAGCUAUUGCUACAAGGCAUUAUUUGCACUCAAUUUCAGCUUAGGCAAUGUGGUUCAAGUGUUUUAUAUUUUCACUCUCCUGAGUUAUGUGUAAUCAUCAUCCUCUUACACUACAGGCUUCAAAUGAGCUAUUUUUAGAAACCCAAAUCAAAACAGCAAUUUUGGUGGUGACCAUAUCUGGUCUAACCUUAAGUGCUGGUAAAAACAGUCAAAGACACAAUUUAAACACACAAAUGUAAUGAUUCAAGGACAGGACCCAUAUAUGACAGAGAACAUGUACCUGGUGUGGUGAAGGAGACAAUAACUAAUAAAAUACAAGAGGCUGAAAACCACACCCACUGGGAAUAUUUCACCUGGUGUUUCAAGUCUUCCCUCACCUGCUGAUAGGUCAUCUCAUGAGUCUAUGAAAAGACUUGAGAACCCAGCAAAGUACAGGAGGUCUUGUUUCACAAAAGAGUCUUCGGGUCUUCUGGGCCCUUAUGACACAUGCCAGACCUUUCAGGGAGCCACAAGAAUGGCUCAGUUCUAAACCACUGUAAUUCAUGGGUAGGCUUUGCUCGCUGAGACCUGAGCCAUAGGGUUUUCCCCAUUGAUGAAGCUCAGGACCACAGGGGUCACUGGCUCUUCUUCAUAUGCCUGAGGUGAGUUUGCCUUGCCAUAUGGCGUGGAAACUCUGGCCCUUAGUCUGUACAUGAUGUGGUUGCGCGAGAGGUCAUAAUUAAUAGGUGUGAAAAAUGCUAGCAGCUGUACCCCAACGGUAUCUGAGGGUGCUGUGUGCCUCCACUCCUGAAUGCUUUGCUUACGUGUUCCAUGGGUUGAGCAGAGUUUUAUAAGAUUAAGCCCAGACUCCACCAUACGUUUCUCUUAAUGGAGAUGCUAAGAACACGCAGCUACACCUCUUCCAGUGUUUGCUUCCUACCAGCUGGGUCUUCUGGUGACAUGGCGCUAUGCAAUAGACGUUCGACCCAUUCCUUUCCCUUUUUAUGGAAAAUGCAUAAUUUUUGGGGGGUGUGAUAGUGCACACAUGUGAUUUUAGUUCUUGGAAAACUGAGGCAAGAAGAUCAAGAAUUCAAGACAAGCCUGGGUUGUAGUGCAAAACCCCAUCUCAGAACAACAAAAACAUAAUUGUAGAGGCUGUGAACUCCAAGUGAAUAUCUAGAUGACACACUCAUACAAUGGGUGCAAAGAAAAUGGAGAAGAUUUCAUUGGCAAAGUGUACCUGGCCAACUGAUGAUAUGAAUUAGUGAGUAAGUCACGGGGAUCUUGCUGUGGUUAAUAGCUGACUUUCUUGAUUGCAUGUGUUAGAAUCUCUUGUAGAUCAAUGCAGAUCAAUCCAAGUUGCCCUCUCCCUCCCCAUAUUUUGUGUUCUCAGCACUUAACACCAUAUAUAUUCACAACUAGUAAACUUUCAAGAGUGUGUCAACGUACCUUACGAUUCAUAGAUCCUUGAGGAAAGGCAUAAUGUGGGGAAGACUCGGACACAAAUCCCUUGGCCUCUUAUAUUCAGCUUAUGGAAACUCCCUUCUUCCGGGGGCUUCCCUGAGGAGCCAGGCUGGGGGUACACACACUCCCCAGAGAACUGGUUGAGUUCUGAUUAUACCAGCUGUUCCAUUACCCUUCUGUGAUUGGCAUACCUCUCCUCCAUCAGAAAUGCACCAACUGAGAAGACUUCACGUUCUGGAUAAAUGGCACUGGGAGGCCUUAAAAACAGAGAUAUAAUUUUCUCCCCCGUAUUUCUCUACUGCAGUUCCCCGGAAAGGAAUUAGGAAGUAGAGGUUUUUAGGUUGAGUAAGCCAGUAAGGACAUUAUUAACCUUUCCCGCUCACGCAAUUAAUAUCCAUUUCCUAUUGAUCUUAGCACGCUGGAAGCACAUCUGGCAAUGUUGCUGUGUCCCCAGCAAACAUCUGAGCUUCAGGUGUGUUCACUUUGGUUUCACAUAAGCAGUCCUCUGCCGUCUAGCUUCCGGCUGUGACUAAUUUCCCCGCAAUAUUUUAAACUUAGAGAAGUAUGAAGAACAUUGGCUCCCUACCCUCAUCACUUAAAACUGGGUGUGAGCCAUCCCCCCCAAUCCAUCAGCACCUGAAGCAGGUGGGCAAGCUGGUUCUGGGGUUGUAAGAGUGGGACCGCUGCCCCUGUCCCUCACCGGCUGCAGCACUUAGGAGAGUAGGCCCUGUGCUUCACCUGGGCAGCACAGUAGAAUCGUUCUUGUUGAGGUGUGGGUGAGCCACCCCCAAAGUUGUGAGCUUAGGAGAGCUAUUCCCAUUACUCACCUGUCAUGUGGCAGCAGGGGUGGGGGAAGAGAUGCCCACCCAGUCAAUGCCUGAGGCAGGUGGUAGACCUAGUCCCUGAGGUCAUAAGAAGGAGAGCUGUCUCUGUCCCCAUCAGCUACCACACUUGGGAGAGUGGCUUGGGCAACACAGCAGAGCUGGCCCUGAAGGUGUAGGGGUGGGAGAACCUACCCUGAGGACAUGAAAGCCUGAGAAACAGCCCUGCCCCUUGCUCAUUACUGCAAGGGAUGAGCUAGCCAGGGCAAUGCUGGAGAGCUCAUCCUGGUGGUGAAGACAGAGGAGAGAUGUUGGGCCGACCAAUCCUACAACUAACUGCCCAGACUCAGAACCAGGGUUAUGUGUUGGUCCACCCCAACAGCCACCCAAUCUGUGGUCUGCUGGAGCCAGGUGGGGUAUGGUAUUAGUCCUGUGGACCCUGGGCUGCAGAAUCUCCAUGACUCAGGGUCACACUGGGAUGUCCAUAAAGAAUCCCAAUGAGGACCCAGUGUCAGUGAUAUAGCAGAGACUAGGGCCGCAAACCAGACCAGUGAUUGUUUGCAAUGAAUGCCUGCGUGGAAAAGUAGAGGUGAAGGGGUUUGUUGUGUGACUCACUGUGUCACACUGCAGUUCCCAUGACAAGACUGAUUUUUCUUUUCUUCCUCUCUUCAGUUUUAUUUUAUUUCAUUUUGGAGGGGGGGGUUUGAAGGGCAAAAGGCAGAUAUGAAAGGACAGGAAAAUGAAUUGGAUAGAAAAUAUAUAAGAGCAAUUGUUCUACAUAACUCUGUCAUUCUGCAGCCCUCCACACCCACAGGGUUGUCGCUUUAAGGUGUCUUCCAUUUUUCCCACCCAUGAUUUUCUGCCGGUGACACCUGGGCUGUUUCAUAACUUUUCAAUUAAAUGUUGAUGUUUCCUUUUCUCUAAAUCAUUAUUAACAAACUAAAAAAGGUAACUGCCUAACUUUUUUCCUUCCAGUAGGUAAAGUUUUCCUUCUAGCAUGUUCUGUCUCCAGAAACAAUGACACAAAUAGAACCACUGUAUUAAAGGAUAUGCAUGCUGUCAAGCUAUGUGUGUAUUUGUGUUUAGAUUAAUAGACGUUUUUCCAGGGUAGGUAUGGCUUUGUCAGGGAAUCCACUGAGUUCUUUUUUUCCCUCACACUAUCUUAUUACUAAUAUCUUGCACUGCUGUACUCGAUUUCUUAGAAUUUAUAUGGCAAUAUUGGUGCCAAAGUUCAUUACAUUGGGAGUAAGUAAGCUUAAUUAAUGCAUAGUGUUGCAUAAAUCUACCAUCACUGGAUCAUAAGGGAACUUUCACUACCUUAGAAAUACACCAUACUCCAGGGUGUCCAUCCUUCUCUUCCUUCUUUCCUUCCUUCCUUCCUUCCUUCCUUCCUUCCUUCCUUCCUUCCUUCCUUCCUUCCUUCCUUCCUCCCUUCUUUCCUUCCUUCCUUCUCUCUCUCGUCUUUGUUGUUGUUUUGUUUUUGUGGAGACAGGGUUUCUCUGUGUAGCCCUGGCUGUCCUGGAACUUGCUCUGGUUUCGAACUCAGAGGUCUGCGUGCCUCUGCCUUCCAAGUGCUGGGAUUAGAGGUGUGCACCACCAUGCCCAGCAUCCCUUUUAACUCUUAUCAAGGACUGGGCCUUUUACUAUCUCUUGAACAGGUUUGAGACUAUCACAUGGUUGGAGGUCACAUAAUAGGUAGCCUUUUCAUACCUGCUUUGUGCAUGUGACUAAACUAUUGAUUGAUGUUCUAGAGUCUAGAUGAGCUAGAGUUGCCCCAUCUUGUCUGCCUUCAAAUCUGUGCAUCAAGGAAUGAAGCUACUACUAUAAACAUCUAUACUGAGUAACGUUUUCAGCUCAUUUGUGGAAAUUCUAAGGAGGACAGAAUCUUAGGUAAAGACAAUGUUGAGUUUAAAGGUUACUGCCAGACCCUCUUCCAAACUGCUGUACGGUCCCCACUAGCUGUGAAUUGAGAGCCUCAGUGACACGCACUGGGGAGGUAACUCAGCCCUACGCCACUCAUGCAGCAUUCUCAAAGUCCUAGGUUUGACCUUAGGAACACAUCAAUAAAAUUUCACUGAGUCUGGUGGUGCAGACCUGAAAUCCCAUCUGUCCGAGCAGCUGUGGCAGCGGGAUCACAGUUUCAAGUCCAUCUUGAGUACAGGAAACUCCUGUAGUUCCUGCCAAUGUUCUAGAUUUGGGCUAUAUUGAUGGGUGUGUAGUGGCAUCGCCAUAUUGUUUUAGUUUGUGUUUCCAUGGCAACAGAUAGUGUGGAGCAUCUUUCAUAUUUUAUUUGCUUCUACCUUUCAGUGAAGUAUCUGCUUAGAUCAUUCUCUUGCCUGGUUUUUAUUUGCUUUAAUUUAGGUGCUCAUUUUCUUUUCCUAAGUUUUAAGAAUGAUGGAGGUGGGUCUUGUAUCUUAUCUGUUGAUUUCAUUGGUUAAUAAUAAAGAAACUGCCUCGGCCCUCAUAGGACAGAAAAUUAGGUAGGCGGAGUAGACAGAGGAGAAUGCUGGGAAAAAGAAGCUGAGUGAGUGAGUCGCCAUGAUGCUCCCACUCCAGACAGACGCAGGUUAAGAUCCUCUCCGGUAAGCCAGCUCAUGGGCUACACAGAAUAUUAGAAAUGGGUUAGAACAAUAUGUAAGAGCUAGCCAAUAAGAAACUGGACCUAGCCGGGCCAGGCAGUGUUUGAAAGAAUACAGUUUCCGUGUAAUUAUUUCUGGGUAUAAACUAGC